CUGAAAAUGAUCUAAGGAAAUGCUCCGCAGGGAACUAAUUGCAUCUAUGAAAAUUUGCUGGAACUGUCAGGCAUCCAUCUGGAUCGGCGUAUUUCCCUGAAGCUGAUGCAUGGAACUGCAUUGACCAGAGAAGCCCAGUACAGUUAAUUUGACCGAUAGACC